rnacentral:rRNA from 1 species
UUAGUAGCGGCGAGUGAACCGGCAAGAGCUCAGAUUUGAAAGCCCUUCGGGGCAUUGUAUUCUGAAGCCUUGAUCCUGGGAUCUGGUGUUUAAGUCUUCUGGAAAGGAGCGCCAUGGAGGGUGAUAGCCCCGUGAAACACUAACCCCAUUGUAGGAUCUUGGCGUGGAGUCGAGUUGUUUGGGAAUGCAGCUCAAAUGGGUGGUAUGCUCCAUCUAAAGCUAAAUAUCUGCGAGAGACCGAUAGCGAACAAGUACUGUGAAGGAAAGAUGAAAAGAACUUUGAAAAGAGAGUGAAAAAGUACGUGAAAUUGUUGAAAUGGAAGGGUAGGCCGCUAACCACGUAGAGCCGUGUCUAGGGGGAGGAUAAAAGCUGUAGAAUGUGGCUCCUCGGAGUGUUAUAGCUACAGUUCAUACUC